UUGCGAUCGCAUCACGUUGAAACACCUGUUUCCAUACAAUCACCGAAGUUAAGCAACAUCAAGCCUGGUCAGUACUUAGAUGGGUAGCCGCUUGGGAAUACCA